GCAAAGGUAGCAUAAUCAUUAGUUCUUUAAUUGUGAUCUGGUAUGAAUGGCUUGACGAGACAUAAGCUGUCUUAGGAGUGUUGUAAAUUAAUUGAAUUUGGUUUUUGAGUUAAAAUUCUUAAAUGUUUUUAUGGGACGAGAAGACCCUAUAGAGUUUAACAAUUUCUUGUAUUGUAUGUUGUUUGUUUAUUUUAAUUGAUUAAGGUAAAUUGUUUUGUUGGGGUGAUGGGAGGAAAUAUUUUAACUCCUCUUUGUUUUUGUAUAUUUAUUUAUAUCUUUUUUGAUCCAUUUAUUUUGAUUAUAAGAUUAAAUUACCUUAGGGAUAACAGCGUUAUCUUCCUUGAGAGUUCUUAUUGGCGGGGAGGUUUGCG
rnacentral:rRNA from 1 species